AUUGAACGCUGGCGGCAGGCCUAACACAUGCAAGUCGAGCGGAGGGGCGGACGGGUGAGGAAUGCCUAGGAAUCUGACUGUUAGUGGGGGAUAACGUCCGGAACGGGGCACUAAUACUGCAUACUCUCAGACGAGGCUAGGUCGGAUUAGCUAGUUGGUGGGGUAAAGGCCUACCAAGGCGACGAUCCGUAGCUAGUCUGAGAGGAGGAUCAGUCACACUGGAACGGAGACACGGUCCAGACUCCUACGGGAGGCAGCAGUGGGGAAUAUUGGACAAUGGGCGAAAGCCUGAUGCAGCCAUGCCGCUUGUGUGAAGAAGGUCUUCGGAUUGUAAAGUACUUUAAGUUGGGAGGCGUUACCAACAGAAGAAGCACCGGCUAACUUCGUGCCAGCAGCCGCGGUAAUAC
rnacentral:rRNA from 1 species